rnacentral:rRNA from 1 species
CCCUUAGAUGUUCUGGGCCGCACACGCGCUACACUGAUGCAUUCAACGAGUCUAAAACCUGCUCUGAUAGGGGUGGGUAAUCUUUUGAAUGUGCAUCGUGAUUGGGAUAGAUGAUUGCAAUUUUUCAUCUUCAACGAGGAAUGCCUAGUAAACGCAAGUCAUCAGCUUGCAUUGAUUACGUCCCUGCCCUUUGUACACACCGCCCGUCGCUCCUACCGAUUGAAUGAUCCGAUGAAUAUCAUGGAUUGAGGAUGCAAGCAGGUUCGCCUGUCUUCAUCUUCGAGAAGUGAAGUAAAUCUUAUCAUUUAGAGGAAGGAGAAGUCGUAACA